GUUUGAACGUUUNAGAAGGGCUGGGACUGGGGCUCAGUGGUAGUGCACGCGCCUGGCACGUGUGAGGCACUGGGUUCAAUUCUCAGCACUGCGUAUAAAUAAAUAAAAUAAAGUCUAUCAACAACUUAAAAAAAAGCUACGUAGAAAAGAGAGUCACUUGGUAGAGUGCUUGCAGCGCAUGAAUAAGGCCCUGGGUUCAAUCCCCAGCACCACACACCCACACAUACACACAAGAACAACAAAGAGGGGCUUAAGGAGGCUGAUUCAUAGUGGGGUUCGGAGGGAGAGCAUGGGAAGAUUAGAUCAACUCCAGCUAGG
rnacentral:lncRNA from 1 species